rnacentral:lncRNA from 1 species
ACAGAACAUCGACUAUUAGCUCUGGCCUGUGGAUUCUAUGAAGGGUAAAAUGAAGUUUGUGAGGUUUUGAAAGACCUCUAGCGACUAGGUCAUAGCAGCACCAACAGUCAGGCUUUUGCUGCACAAAACAAGCAUGUAAAAAUAUACUAGCAUAAUUUUGGAAAAUUUACUCACUUGCAGAAUGCAGUGGCCACAGCCAUCUUCAUAACAAGCUAACCUGGACUCUGCUUUAGAUGAAUUCCAUUUAAGUACCUUAAAUGAGUGUCAAAAGAAGUACCGCACUAGAGUGCCAUGCAGAUACAGCUCUGUAGAGAGAGAGAAUGUGGCUUCCUGUGCAGUUACAUGUCUAUCCAGUGACCAGCACCUAUGUGACUAGUUGGUAGCUUUGGACACAGUUUUUAUCCGAGAUGUAACCUUAAACAUCUGGCAUUAUAGAUUAAAAAAAAAAAAAAGAACUGCUGUAACUUAGCCUGUCUCACUGUUUCGUAAGAUCCAUUUCCAGAUGUUAAAAAACACUACCUGCUAUAGUGUUCUUUAACAGCUGGAAAUUAAUCUAAAGAAACAGUAAUACAGGCUAAGUUAUGACUGCAGGUAAGAAGUGAACAUUCACUGAGAAGCUAAUACUUAAAAGUAAACAGACCAGCUAACCAUAGUUAGGGGGACAUUGUAAAACA